CUAGUGGCGAACGGGUGAGUAACACGUUGGUUACUACCCCCAAGUGGGGAAUAGCUCCGGGAAACCGGAAUUAAUACCGCAUGUGAUGGUGAGAGUAAAGUUUCAUCAUUAAAGCCUUCGGGCGCUUGGGGAGGGGCCUGCGUCCGAUUAGUUUGUUGGUGGGGUAAUGGCUCACCAAGGCUAUGAUCGGUAGCUGGUCUGAGAGGACGAUCAGCCACAUUGGGACUGAGAUACGGCCCAG
rnacentral:rRNA from 1 species